rnacentral:rRNA from 1 species
GACGAACCGUGCGAACGUUAUUCGGAAUCACUGGGCUUAAAGCGCGUGUAGGCGGGUCGACACGUCCGACGCUGAAAUCCCCCGGCUCAACCGGGGAACUGGCCCGGAUACGAUAGACCUUGAGGGGGGUAGGGGGGUCUGGAACUUCCGGUGGAGCGGUGAAAUGCGUUGAGAUCGGAAGGAACGCCCGUGGCGAAAGCGAGACCCUGGACCCCAUCUGACGCUGAGACGCGAAAGCCAGGGGAGCGAACGGG